rnacentral:rRNA from 1 species
CCUACGGGUGGCUGCAGUGGGGAAUAUUGGACAAUGGGCGAAAGCCUGAUCCAGCCAUGCCGCGUGUGUGAAGAAGGCCUUCGGGUUGUAAAGCACUUUCAGUGGGGAAGAAAGCCUUGGGGCUAAUACCCUCGAGGAAGGACAUCACCCACAGAAGAAGCACCGGCUAACUCCGUGCCAGCAGCCGCGGUAAUACGGAGGGUGCGAGCGUUAAUCGGAAUUACUGGGCGUAAAGCGCGCGUAGGCGGUCUGAUAAGCCGGUUGUGAAAGCCCCUGGCUCAACCUGGGAACGGCAUCCGGAACUGUCAAGCUAGAGUGUAGGAGAGGAAGGUAGAAUUCCCGGUGUAGCGGUGAAAUGCGUAGAGAUCGGGAGGAAUACCAGUGGCGAAGGCGGCCUUCUGGACUGACACUGACGCUGAGGUGCGAAAGCGUGGGUAGCAAACAGGAUUAGAUACCCUAGUAGUC